rnacentral:tRNA from 2 species
CGGGGCGUAGCGCAGCCCGGUUAGCGCGCCUGCUUCGGGAGCAGGAGGUCCCGGGUUCAAAUCCCGGCGCCCCGA